GAGAAAACCAGCACAAAUGACAUCGACGACGUCAUCUGCAAUUUGUCAUUUUCAUUACGUCAUAAUUUUCUGCGAAAAAUUGAUUUGCAUUUGUGCGUUAGAUAUUUGUGUACACGUGUGUUUGAUUUCGUUUGAAAGUUAAAAACAAAUGGAAUGGAUGCCGAACUUGAGGAUUUGAAAAGUAUCAUCUCAGACCACUUUGGUCGUACCCCAGCGAGUACACCCGUUUGUUUCCAGACAUUGGAGGCGAGUGAGGAGAGCGACGUGGAUACAAGCAGCUACGCCGACAUAUGUCAGGGUUGUGUAAGGUCUAUGGUGAGUGAAAAUAUUGAUGCGAGUGAUGACAAUGAUAGCGACAACGAAGACGAUCAAAUCGAUGGUCGAUCACUGUCAGAAGAUGAAAACCAUGUUUGCAACGUACCAAGCGCUGGCGUACAUGAACAAGGAGAGUGUGACCCUGAUUGGUUGGCUGUAGAGCAUUUCAUGAAGGGAUGUGACAGGCAUUGUCAAAAGAACUUCACACCAUCUUCGGUGUAUCAGUCCAUUUUAGACAUGCGUGAGAAGAGUAAAGAUGAAAAAGAAAUGUUUCUUAUGGGAAUUUUAAGUAAUUGUUUGGAUACCUCUUCUAGCACUAAGAGAGGGAAGAAACGUUUCCGCGUGCACACACUUUGUAAUUAACGGUGCUUCAGUGUGUAGGGGAACUUUUCAGCUGUUUUUUGACGUUAAACGUGCUGAUCUAUAUGCACUGAUAGACAGUAAAUCGGGGCGGCUGUACACUGAGAACGCACGGGAACAGAGGGCGAAGAAAUCCGACUGCCAUACCCAGCAGCCCCAAGGGGAAAAGACAAUAUUUCAAUCGUCUUCCUUCCAUCAAGCACAACAAAGUUGCAUUUACAUGCGCAAUAUAGCUCUGCUUGUGAAGAGAGAAAUAUUGUGCGGUGCGUGAAAAUUUCGGCAUUCAAAAGCAUCUGGUUGCACUGCGUUCCGCACAUUAAAAUUGCAAAACCAAGAGAGGACGUUUGCGGCACCUGAGAGCGACUUCGAAGGGACAUCGUCGGCGCUGUGACAGAAGAUGAGAAGCUACAUGCACUGACAGCAAUGGAGACGCACAUCACUGACGCUCGCAAGGAAAGAAACGUGUACUUAAACUGUGUUCAGAUGGCCGUUUCUGACCCAGUGCGAUAUUGCCACUUCACGUUUGACUUAAGUCAAAGUGUAAGUUUACCACACUACGGCAGACAGAUGGGCCAAAUAUAUUUUAUGACACUCAGAAAAGUGCAGAUCUUCGGUUUCCGCAAAAGUGGCAAUAAACAACUGAACUUUCUAAUCGACGAGAUGUGUUUCCUCUGCACGAACACGUCCAGUGCAGCUGCUCGCUCCUGGAUUAUCUGCAGCACGGCGUGACUACUUGCGUGAUAAUGUGCGAACUCUAUGUAACUAUUUUGUAAAUGACAAAAAACUGUAAAGUUUACGUCAAUAAAACAUUCUGUCUGUCUCUAUUGUCAGCUCGGGCUUCGCGUGUUUGACAGAAUGUGACAUGUUUACUGUUUUAACUGUGCUAAGGGUUGAUGUAACCAGUUAUUGUUACUGUAUAAUGGAUUCUGUACGUUUGUUUGUAUAACAAAAAUAUAUCAACAUUCCGAUUUCAUUUAAAUUAUCCAACAAA